rnacentral:rRNA from 1 species
AACGUAGGAGACAAACGUUAUCCGGAGUUACUGGGCGUAAAGGGCGCGUAGGCGGCCACCGCAAGUCGACUGUGAAAUCUCCGGGCUUAACCCGGAACGGUCAGCCGAUACUGCGGGGCUAGAGUGCAGAAGGGGCAACUGGAAUUCUCGGUGUAGCGGUGAAAUGCGUAGAUAUCGAGAGGAACACCUGCGGCGAAGGCGGGUUGCUGGGCUGACACUGACGCUGAGGCGCGAAAGCUAGGGGAGCGAACGGG